UACGUAGGGGGCAAGCGUUGUCCGGAUUUAUUGGGCGUAAAGAGCGUGUAGGCGGCCAAGCAGGUCCGCUGUGGAAAACUCGAGGCUCAACCUCGAGACGUCGGUGGAAACCGUUUGGCUAGAGUCCGGAAGAGGAGAGUGGAAUUCCCGGUGUAGCGGUGAAAUGCGCAGAUAUCGGGAAGAACACCCGUGGCGAAGGCGGCGACCUGGUCCUUUACUGACGCUGAGGCGCGAAAGCGUGGGGAGCAAACAGG
rnacentral:rRNA from 1 species